rnacentral:lncRNA from 1 species
AAAACCGAGCAUUUGCUAAUGCUCAAGCUGAUUCGAGCAAAGUAAAGUCUCUGAGCAUUUACUCGAAACCGUAUGAAUAAAACGAUACUUUACUCAGAGUAAGUUCGAAAUUCGAACAUAGCAUUUACUCUGUCAAAAUGUUGUUUUUGUUUUGGUUUGCAAGUUGUUAAAAGUAGUCCAGCGUCUCGGGUCCAACGGUGGAAACCGCAAAUAGAAGUCCCAUAUCGGAUUUUACCCGUUUUUGUAGUAGGUUUCCGCUUGCUGAUGGAGGGACACACAAGGGUGAAACUCAACUAGCAUCACGUCUGCCGGAAAUAGGUGCACAAGUACAAACCUGAGUUUCAACAAAUGAAAAACUCGAGCUGAGUCCGCUACGGGGUCGGACGGCAUCAGAAUCCAAUCCGCCAACAACUUCAACAGCUACCACCUCAACUUUAAAACAAAGACGCUAGAUUUCGUUCUGCAAAAUUAAUUCGAGCUCAAGUCACCAAGCCACAAAGGAAAAACAGAAUAAACUGAGAUCAACACGCCACAUACGACCGGAUUAGCAACCAGUAGAGGAGAAGCCAUAGGACAAAUCAUUGUUCAAACGGAUAUGCUGUUGGUGUGAAAACCUACGGCCACCCUCUGAAACAUGGUCUCAAGCAGGGUGGACAAAGAGAGCACGCAUUCCCCCUCGCCUCUGUCAAGGACAAAAUAAAUAAACUAUGCUACUUA